rnacentral:lncRNA from 1 species
GCGUUUCUUGCAACAUUUUCUCUCAUCAACCACUAUCACCUUAAAAUGACGAUUAGAGACUCACAUAAGUCCAAGCACCAUAUGCCCUAAACCUACAACUCAGAAACUGCAGCAAGUAACCCAAAACUUAAAGAGGUUUCUGAAAUUUGUGAAAAAAAAGAGCGAGGAGAGGAAUGGUGAGAAUGAAAGCACUAUUAAUC